AUCUCAAGCUUCAAGGGAGCCAAUAAGGAGCGAGCACUGCCCCUCCUGUUUUACUGCAGAAUUCCGAGGCUUGCAGCCAGCAGCAUCGUGAGUCUCUAGACUGAUUUUUUUUCCUAAAUGGACGCACAAGGUGAAGCACUUGCCCACAGAUAAAGAUGCCGUCCUACAGCCUGCGUCUGCAGCGCAGGCCACAUGGCUGUGAUUGGAGGAAGAGGAGACAUGCCCCCGUUUGCCUGGACCAGAGACCAGACUCAGCGUCACGUGACCGGAGUAAGAGGACUCAUGUUGCUGUGCUUGUUGAAAAUGACCAUUGCCUCUGUUAACACAAGCGCAAAAAUAAAAAGAGAAAUGCGGAGGGGAAGACAGGUGUUGUGAGAAUGAAACUGACACGUGUGAGCCAAAGAAUGUGUAAUGCAGCAGCCACUUCUCGCUGCAACACUAUCCUCUCCCACACUUGGCAUCUCAGGACAGGAAGAAGAUUUUAUCCUGGCCAAGUCAACAGCCUAUUGUUGAUAACUCAGUAAGUAGUUACAACUACGAAUAAAGUCAUGAGUGAUUUGACGUUACUCCAGAAGACAUUUAAAAGGACACUUUUAAAGAACACCUCGUCUUCUUGUACGAGAAAAGACGGGGGUAGUUAAAGGGAGUUGUUAACCAGUUACAGAAGAAAGAUGCAAUCUGAGCUGGUGGCAUUAAAUAUUAAACAUUGUUUUAAACCAAGUGGCAUCAUGGCUUCCCCGGGGAACUGAAGCUGCAGACAUCACAAACACACGCAGGGUUGCACAAAUAGAAACACAAUCACUAGAUACCUAAUCCACUAGGCAGUGUUCCUUGAUUACCACUUCUCUAUCGGCAUCUCUGCACCAACACGUUACUUCCACAACAAUAAAAUAUCUCCUUCCUUUCGGGGUCUCAGGUAUUUCAACAAUAACAAUAUUGUUUUGUAUAAGAAAAGGACUGAACGUAAGAGGCCACUUUGCAUCACUGAGGGAAUAAGUGACACAUUUUUCCAUCUCUCAUUUAUGAGUCAAAGACACGUUCUGAAGGCAUGAAACACAAUCAGCUCUGCGUCUAGCAUAUUAAUCACAUGGUGGCUGUUGUGCAGCGUGACCGAAUCUAAGACGCACAGCUGACAGACGUCGAGAUUUCAAGGUAAAUAAAGAACCUGCACUUGUGACAGUUCAAAAGCUACACAGAUUUGCUGAUUUUCUUUGCUGAUCGUAUGAAUCGGCAAAGGAUGCGUUGUGCUGACAAUACUGAAUGUGUUCAGUGUUACAGUGAACUCGCUUGUCAUGUGAGCAAAGUCCUCGCUUUUCCUUCGACACGAGUAUUUUCAUUUGAAUGAAAGAAAUAUUUCUGUUGAUCACAAUUAUAUAGGUAAAUAAAGACGUGUGAUUAAAAUCACUGGGUGUCCCAUAAACAGUGAUGGAGGUACAAUUCUCACAUUUGUCUUUCUCCACUAAUAAAAGCGCUCAAAAAAAAAAAA